GAAACUUUUUUUAAUGUCCUGACUGAACAGCUUGAGGUUAUGUCCUCUUGUUCUGUUCUUGGUAGGAUGGCAGAAGAGGCUGAUCCACACCUGGCUGCAGCCUCCUUUCAGGCAGUUGUAGAGAGUGAUGAGGUCACCCCUGAGCCUCCUUUUCUCCAGGCUGAACCCCCAGCUCCCUCAGCUGCUCCUCACAGGACAUGCACUCCAGAACCUUCACCGACCUCAUUGCCCUGCUCUGGAUACUGGAAUGUCCUUCCUGAAUUGAGUGGCCCAGAACUGGACACAGGAUUCAAGAACCCUUUCUUGGAUGCCUGCUAGGGAGACAGCUGAUGUUUAACACAAGAAGUUUGAAGUUGUGUUUUGCCCAUGUCCACAUGAAGUACAGGCAGUCUGUACUCAGCAGCAGCACAAGGACUGUGCAUUCUACAGGACUGCUCCUAUUGAGACAUGCAACUUGCUGAUGCAGACAAAACCUGAACCUAGGAUGAAUUCCAGACAUUGGACUUUGUCUUGCCUCAUCUGCAGAACUUACCCUGCCAGGAAAUCUUGAACAAGAACACUAGAGAGCUACUGUGGAAAGCAGGAGUGUUGUCUUUGAAAAGCAAUACACCAAUAAUACAACUUUGAAAUUUUCUAAGAUACAAAAAAACCCUGCAAAUCACCAUCCAGAAGAAAAAAAAAAAAGCCUAUAUUUGUGAUAUUGGCCCUGUCUCCUGCUUUAUAUUAU